ACGCACGCUGGCGGCGUGCUUAACACAUGCAAGUCGCACGGAAAGGCCCUGCUUUUGUGGGGUGCUCGAGUGGCGAACGGGUGAGUAACACGUGAGUAACCUGCCCUUGACUUUGGGAUAACUUCAGGAAACUGGGGCUAAUACCGGAUAGGAGCUCCUGCUGCAUGGUGGGGGUUGGAAAGUUUCGGCGGUUGGGGAUGGACUCGCGGCUUAUCAGCUUGUUGGUGGGGUAGUGGCUUACCAAGGCUUUGACGGGUAGCCGGCCUGAGAGGGUGACCGACCACAUUGGGACUGAGAUACGGCCCAGACUCCUACGGGAGGCAGCAGUGGGGAAUAUUGCACAAUGGGCGGAAGCCUGAUGCAGCAACGCCGCGUGCGGGAUGACGGCCUUCGGGUUGUAAACCGCUUUCGCCUGUGACGAAGCGUGAGUGACGGUAAUGGGUAAAGAAGCACCGGCUAACUACGUG
rnacentral:rRNA from 1 species